rnacentral:lncRNA from 1 species
CGGGAUUGGUCACUCGCUCGAUCCGAUUCCACCCGUAUCAGACUCUCCCCAUACCUUAUAAAACUUACGAUCCGUGACCCCAUAUCAGGCUGCGUCGACAACUCGAAGCCACCAUCAUCACCCGGGCGUGAAGUGCAUGCCAAGGGAGAUUUUUGUGCCGCCGUCAUGGUCCCACAAUUCCAUGGCUGUCCUAUGCACGUGGCGUGGUCGGGGAUGAACGCUAGUUCAUGUGCAAACCUUCUGCGGUGUCAUCGGGUGGAUAGGGCUACCAUCGCCGACUCAAUUGCUCGCUGGAGACAAGGCUCCGCCGCAGAUCCGCCCCCACCGUGGGCGGGUAUUUUUCACAGCCUAAUUCCUCCGUAUGGCGCCACUACUAGCUUCGAUGUUUUCUACUCCUUGCAGAGCGCUAAACCACGUGGGAGAUUGCACAGGGGGUCGCCCAUUAUGCCUUCACCGGCGAACCAUGGCCGUGAUGGGUGGGCGGCGCCGCCUUGGGUUGUCUGGGAGUGAAGACGGGGUAUGUGUCGUUGGUUCCUAGAUAGACGACCAUGAUUAGGUGUUAGGUCUCGAUGGGGUGGGAUUGAUCGGAGCCCUUGGAUCAUGAUCGCGGGACUCGGAAAAGAUCAGGCUUCAUAAAAUCCGUGUCGUUCAUUUAAGAUCCGAGCAUCCCGAGCACAUACCGGUUUACUUGGAUGAACGGUCUAAUCUGAGCCAUUGAUCUAAAUCUGAGCGGCUCAUAUUAACCUGUACCCCCUUCGGCGCGGCUGUUUUGUAAAAGAGCCCUAAGAGUUUGUAGAUUUCAACCCCCCAUCCUUUGUCGUGUUAAAUAACUGAGUAUAGGCCCCUAGAAUUUACAAAUUGAUCCCUGGAUCUAGUAAAAUUAGUAUAAAGUGAUCCUAAAUCUUAUUUAUUGCAUAUCUUGCUCAUUUUAACUCUGAUUUGAUCUGUUCAAGUUGCGUUAGAUUCGUAAUAAAAUUGUCUAUGCAGUAAAACAUUAUUCAUAACACAUCAUGUACUUUUAUAUUUAACCUAUGUUUAUUUUACUACCUCUUCUUAUUAAGGUUAAUAUGUCCAUAAUUAUAAUUUAACUAGAAUAUGAUCUCAAAUCAAGUUGUAACUUAGAAUAAGGUUCAAUUAAGUUAUUUUUUGGUAAUAUCUUUACCACAUGAUUUAUAAUAUAUUUUUUAUUAUUUAAUCACCUAAAUCUUUGGAAAAUCAUAUCUUUCUAAAUGUAGCUCCGAUUUUUGUGGUUCUCGAACCCACGAUCUCGUAGCAACACGUAGAAUAUCCUUACGCUGGUUGUUCUCAUGUUUGGUGUACUAUUAUUUUUAUGCAUUCCUUGUUUAUUUGUAUGUAUUGCUUCGAGUAGCAGCGAGGCCACGAGGAACCCGAAGACCAAUUUAGUGAAGUACUUGGGAUCACAAGUCAAAGACAAGUUGUACGCUUGAUCACUCUUCUUUACCUAAUAAUGUUCCUGUUAAUCACUGUGACAUGCUCAUGUUAAUUUGAUGGGACCCAAUAGGUUUCACUAGUUUUAUUUACGCCACACCUUGCAGACACAUGAACUAUUAGGUAGACUUGCUAUUGCUCUACCUGGUUUUGG